GAUGAACGCUGGCGGCGUGCUUAACACAUGCGAGUCGAACGAAACACCUUAUUUGAUUUUCUUCGGAACUGAAGAUUUGGUGAUUGAGUGGCGGACGGGUGAGUAACGCGUGGGUAACCUGCCCUGUACAGGGGGAUAACAGUCAGAAAUGACUGCUAAUACCGCAUAAGACCACAGCACCGCAUGGUGCAGGGGUAAAAACUCCGGUGGUACAGGAUGGACCCGCGUCUGAUUAGCUGGUUGGUGAGGUAACGGCUCACCAAGGCGACGAUCAGUAGCCGGCUUGGGAGAGGGAACGGCCACAUUGGGACUGAGACACGGCCCAAACCCCUACGGGGGGGCGCAGGGGGGAAAAUUGCAAAAUGGGGGAAACCCUGAUGCAGCAGCGCCGGGGGAGUGAAGAAGUAUUUCGGUAUGAAAAGCUCUAUCAGCAGGGAAGAAAAUGACGGGACCUGACUAAGAAGCCCCGGCUAACUACGU
rnacentral:rRNA from 1 species